GGAUUAGUGGCUGAUCAAUUUGCCCUAAGUAACCUCCUCUAAUCAAUGGUAAUAACACCUAGUUAUGGCUGCCCAACUCCUCCUCUUCCCCUUCCCUUUUUACGUACAAAACAAGGCUAGCUUUCAUCAGUUUUCUUCACCAAAAAAACGCUGCACUACUCUCUUCAUCUUUUUCGUGGGUUUCAAAGGCAAAUCAAGGGGGAAAUUAAAGCCUAAUUUGCUGCUUAAAUCUACUCCAAUUCGUGCCCAAAUUCCUCCUCUUCGAAGUGUCAAAACCGAAGAACUUUGAGGGCUUUUAAGGGGCUGCUUGGACGUGCCAUGAGCAUGGGUUUGGGGGCUGAUUUCAUAAAUUUUCUCUCCUCUUUCUAGUCUAUAUUUUGGUCACGCUUCAAGAGGUUUUAUUUAUUUAUUUGAACAUUGUGACGAUGGGUUGGGAAUUGAGAGUUUAAGACCCAACUUUUUGGGCUUGCAUGCUUUUGUUGUUAGUUGAUUGUUAAGUGCUUUGAAUUUGGUUUUAGUUUGAUUUCAGUUUGGCCGAUAAGGGUUGUUCUGCCCUUGGUUUUUGAAUGUAAUUGAUUUGCCUAAGUUUAUGUUCAUUUGUUAUUUUCCUUUUCACCGUA